rnacentral:lncRNA from 1 species
AAAAGAGGCAAGGACAUAAAAUCUAUUUGAAAAUUUAAAUCUAAUUUUAGUUACAUUGAAGAGUGGUCAGGAAUGUAAACACAACAUUCACUCUGGAUAAUGUGCCACCCUGAGCUGCAGCAAUUACAUCCAAAGCCAUCUGGUUUUGCAAUGCAGCUUUUCUUGUGAGAGCCACCUGGUAUUAAGGAGAGAAAUACCUCUUUCAGUGUCAUGCUCAGUGUUUUUGUAUAAUUGGUCAGAGUCUCUGACCUGAUCUCAUGCUGUUACCUGAUCUCAUGAUAUUCCAUGGAAACAUCCUUUGUGUGUCCCCUUCUCUUGUUCUGCCUUUGGGUGUGGCCUUCCUAGGUGUCAGUCAACCUGCUGACAGCAGACAUCAAGAAGCUAGACUCAACCCCCUGAAACCUGACCCCUUGCUUCAUUUGAAUGGCUUCUCUUCAAUAAAAGGGGUCAGCAUGUUCUCUCUCUCUCUCUCUCUCUCUCUCUCUCUCUCUCUCUCUCCAGACCCUUAAGGUCAGAGGAGUCAUCACAGGACCCAAAGAAAAAGGUAUCUCUGUCUCUUGUGUGAUUAUUUUGUACAGCCCAGUUCCCCUGGAGUGACCCUGAGUGUUUUAGUCAUGAGGAACGUGACAAGAAAGCAUGUGUUUCUCCUCAUAACAGGAUAGAAUUUGAAGCCUUAGUUUUAUUACCAAGGUGUUCAAUGACAUGUCGUAUUUAAAUUGCUUAUAGGUUUUUUAGAGAAAGUUAAACCUGAGUCUGUAUGGCUAUCUAGCCACAAGAGGCUUUUAAAGGAACAACCAGAGAUUAUUAUGUGGUCAAUCACUAUUUUUCUUGCAAUUUCACAAAUAAUCAGGCAAAAGUUGAUAAAAUUUAAUGGGUCAAGCCAGGAUAAAAGAAUCCUAUGCCAUGUGCUCACUGUGGAGUUGACUGGCUGGCCUGGGAUGUAGGAUAUCUGGACCCCAAUUCUGUAACAUAUGUUUCAGUGAAGUCCACAAUGCACUCACAAGUUUCAUACAUCCUUUUUGGUGACAUUUUAUUUUAAUUUUUGUUUGAACUCCCACUUAGAGAUAAUAUAGAUCAUUUUAUUUAUCCUUUCAUUUUUGAUACAUAUUUGAAUUGUUUCCAGUUUGUAUGUAAUGCUGCUGUGAACAUUCUUUCACAUGGUGAACACAGGGUCGGCAUUUCCAUUGGGUAUAUGCCUAAGAGUAGGACCUCUGAUCAACAAAUACAGUCUAUUUCCAUCUCAAGAGAUGCCACCACAGAGUUUUUGAAAGUGGUUGUGACCAUUUAAAUGCAUACCUGUGUGUAAGUGACUAUUUUUACCAUUCCUGUGACCCUAGAGAAGUUAUCAUGCUUUUGAGGCUUUCCCCCAACACACAAUGGGGAUCACAUUGGCAUCUACUUUCUGGAAGAUCAUAAAGGGUAAAACAGAUUGCUCUACAUCCUUAUAACUCUUAUCAGUUGUUUUAAGCUAUGGCAUUUUUUUUUUCACAUUGUCAUCUGUCUUUUAAAUAUGUCUGGCACUGAGGAUUGAAACCAGAUUCUUACACCAAACAAGUGCUUUACUACCUG